UACGAAGGGUGCAAGCGUUACUCGGAAUUACUGGGCGUAAAGCGUGCGUAGGCGGUUUGUUAAGUCCGCUGUGAAAGCCCUGGGCUCAACCUGGGAAUUGCAGUGGAUACUGGCAAGCUAGAGUGCGGUAGAGGAUGGUGGAAUUCCCGGUGUAGCGGUGAAAUGCGCAGAUAUCGGGAAGAACACCCGUGGCGAAGGCGGUUCUCUGGUACGGUACUGACGCUGAGACGCGAAAGCGUGGGGAGCGAACAGG
rnacentral:rRNA from 1 species